UCAUGUUUCUGCGGUAGUGGCCGAUGAGAUUGGAGCGGGUUGUGUCUUGUGUGGAUGCUUACCUUGUGCGCAUAUGGGCAUGGUUUCUAGGGAUUUAGGUGCGUGGAUUCGGGAUUUGACUGGCUGGACACAAAUUCGAUUCUGAUUGCGCCGGUCUCUAAUGCAGGCUUAUCUUCUAGGUGUAGUUGUUUUCAAGUUGGAUGGAAUUAGUGUCAUGUUCUUUCAGACAAAAAAUGUGUCUACGGGCCUGCAGUUUAGUACUUUAGGGAUUUCGGUAGCAACAUUGACUUAUUAUGGGUUUUGUUCAGUUUUGAAUUUGUGACUGUGGUAUGUGUGAAAGAAUGUUGGUUGACUGACUAUACACAGCUAAUGUACUAAAUGAAUCUGCUGCCCACUGCUUCCAUACUAUAGUUACCUACAUUUUUCUGGUAGAUUAGAGCUACAAUGUCUGUAUCAUGGCGUGUGGUGUUUUUUUUAGAUUGACACUUGCGAAGUUAGAUCAUGUCAUAUUACCUGUACAGCUGAUGUUCCUAUACAUGCUAUAUCUGUGCUUGCUGUUGUAUAUAAUGAUUAGAUUGAGGUUCUUGCCUCCAGGGGCAAGUCAGAAGAAACCUUCUUUUAAAUCUCAGCUGAAUUUCUGAUUGAGGUUUCUCUUUUAAAUCUCAACCCUGGCAUGCAAUUUUUUUCACGAUUUACAUGACUGUUAGUUGUUUUGAAAUCCUUUUUGCUGGUCCAAAAGGUACGCAACAAGAUAGAACCUUCUUACCAUGAAAAUAGUCACUACUUCUGAUAGUUAAUGGAACUGGUGUUUGGGGCUGCGGCUGCUAUUAGGCUCUGUGGUGUGAUGCAGUGCCAGCUUGCCAUGAGGCUGCCCUUGUUGGCGCUUCUUUGUCGAUGCCCGUGGCCUCAGCCUCUGCGGUGGCUGGUCCAACUGCCUCCCAACACGUUGUUGGUGCUCUCUUUCUUGGCUUCUAGGUUCAAUUGUUGAUGGGACCAUUCUCUUGGUUAGGAGUUGGUGUACUGCUGUUUAGCUUCAUAUUAACCAUGUAUUGACACUAAAUACUUCCUACCCUUGGGUGUAGUUACACCCAUAUCUAAUAUACUACCAUAUAGAAGUAUGUACGAUACUUUAUCGGUUUGAGUAUGUUCUUACACUAUAUCUAAGAUAUUCUAAACCAAGUUUGGUGAACAAAAUGCAAGUGAGCAUGUCGUCUGCACUAUAUAUUUGAAAUACAUGCAUAUGUAUACGCAAAAAAUAAGUUUACGUAAAAAAAUGUACAUACUGCCUAAAAAGUAUUAUAUAUACUACCAAAAUAGUCUGCUGCUUUUCGACCCAACUUCUUCUUUUUUAAUCUUUCGAGAUUCAACCGUGUAAUCUGCACUACAUGUGAACCAAAUACUUUACUGAAUAUUACAUGCACAAACUUCCUAGCAUCCCUUGAGAUUUUGGUUCUAUCUAAUUUUGGUAUAGCUAUCUCUCAAAUUCAUUGCUGCUCAAUCUUCUAAGCCUGGAGAUAAUGAAAGUUUAAUAUUACUAUCAUGGAAAUGUUGUUAUUAAUUGGCAGUCUUGGAUUUAUGUUGGAAUAGUGUUGGCUGGUUGUGCUGGUGCUGAGUUUUGGUGCCGAAUUCAAACUUUUUCUGCUCAAGCGAGCUGUUUUUGCCGUUUGCCUAUAUGGGUGUGCUCAGGUUUUUUAAAUCGGAUGCACGCUAUUGAGCUCUUGAACGAGUUGUUGGUUUCAGUUGCAUUGUAGGUUUUCUUCGGUAUAUCAUUUCUCCAUUUUGUGGUAUGUCUUAUUUAGUUGAGAACCAUUGUACUGCAGGCACAAAGACACAAGCCACAAAACAAACAAAACGUUGGCAGCAAAAAACAGAGCAGCAAAGCGGUAUGUUAACAUAGGGAUAUGCUGAUAUUAUUUGGUAACAAUAUCUGGUAUGUUAUUUCACUGCAUGUAUGUUCUCUCUUUAGUUCAAGGAACCAUCUUGUUUGCUGUUGUGAGUUCGGUUUGUUGACUUGUGUUGUAUUUUCUUCCUCCGUUUCUUAGUAUGCUUCACAUAGGACUUGAAAAGCCAAUUCCUACUCCCUGUUACUGCCAGUUUUUAGAUUUUCUAAAAUAUAUGGAUGGAAAUCAAAGCUUCUGAUCUUGUCCUACUAGAAUUAUCUAAAAUUGAAACUAUAGGAAGUUGGUGCUUCUACAGAUAAUUAUUGCACAAUAUUAACUCCAUAUAUGGUCAUUUUUCUUGUGGAUACAUGGGGUUUAGUUUUAUGAAUUUGCUAUAUACAUGAUUAUCGGAUUACCCUUACCUUCUUUUAGGAAGGUCUUUAUUACCAGUGUUGUUGUGAGAGAACAACAACAUAUUUUGCAUGGGAUUCCUUCAAAUGAACUCUAUCUUAGCAGCUUAUCGCUAGAUGGUAUGACUUACAACAUAAUUGUCCCAAAACUUCGUAAAAACCUUGUGUUGCUGAAGCACUCUAUAUACUUUAGGACCUACGCUCGAUGGGAUAUCAGCUGUAAUAUGGGACUUCAAAUAUUAUAAUUGAUGUGUUGCUUAAGGGUGACAGAAUGUAGAUUUAUUCAUUGUUAUUUUGGGAAAAAGGUUAGCAUAUGAUAUUGUGGCAUACAACGUAUUGGUAUUAAAACCUUAACAAAACAAGGUUUUGCUAGAGGAGCUUGAUGAUAUCUUCGUAUAGAUGAAGCAAAGUUAUCUUCUGACUCACACAUGCUUUAAUUCUGAGUUAGGAGGCUAUUGGGGAGAGGUGAUAUCAGGAGGGUUAAGACGUACUUCUCCUUACCUACAUCUCUUAAGAUAUACAGAAUUGGGACUAGGCAUUCUUGAGCCUUCACAGUGAACUGAAAAUAUAUUUUCUCUGUAUGUGAAGUGUAAAUUUCUAGGUAAAUCCUAGACUGGUAAUUUGAUCUUUUGGAGGCUGGUAAAUGGUUCAAGUGGAGGAACCUCACUCAUUCUUGAGCCUCACUCUGUCAUUGUCUUACCAGACAUAUUUAGAUGGAAAUAAUAUCCACAAAAGGAGGAAUCUCUCACCAAGGCAUAGAGGGAUUGGUCAGAAGUUCAGAGCCUAAAAUCCUCCCGAUUGCCUUGCUGAUUGUACUGAUAGCUUUAAGAGAAGAAUAAGUAAUGUUCUUUCUUAGCUUUUAGUUAUCUGUCAUCGUCUAAUUAUAAGUAGUUAUUGACAGUGCUCCUGAAGUUUUUGCUAUAAUCAAUAACUGAGCAAGAGACCAUUAAGGGGCUUUGAUGUGGACUCUGUAUUAUUGGUAAAUGUGAUUUUAGUUGGAUAAAUCAGCCUGAUACUUCUGCCGCUUUUACACAAUUUUACAUGAAGAUGAUGCAUUAUUAUGAGGUGCUUUUGUUGUA